rnacentral:sRNA from 1 species
UUUUGAAACAAAUCCAACGUUCAUACUACCGUAGCUUGGUUAUAUUUAUUUUCACAUUAAAAUUUGUUAUACAUAUCGACAUCACGCACGCUUGCAUGCUGCUGUGUACACAAAAAGAAACACAAUGGAAAAAGGGGUGAAGGAUUGAUUCAUUUACAGAAAACCCAAUUGGGUGAUUGAAUCGUAUGAAGUGAAAAAUAGAUCUUGAGAUGAAAAAGAAUUGGCUACCUGCUGUCCACAACGUCAAUGCCUCAGAACCGACCAGAAAAUCAAACACACAAGAUUUGUUUGCAUAUGAAUUGAAAUAUCAAUCAACAUUUAAAACAUGAUUUGCAUUAGAUAUUUUUCUUACAACCUCUGCUCUCUGUCUCCUCCAAACUUCAUUUAAUCUCCCUAUUUUGAAUGUCCAGCAAAACAGAACACUCACGAUUAGGAGAAUUCAUUUAUGUGAUCCACUCAGAUAAUUUAAUUGUUA